CAGAGUGACACAGCAGUCUCUGCCCCAAAGGCUAAUGGGAAGGCAGGGCUCAGUGAGGGCCAGUCCUCACGGAGAGACCAGGACAGGACUGAAGGGUUUCAGAAGGAGGAUUUCUGGAAGCAGGCUGGAGCGCUGGACGCUGUCCCAGGGAUUGAUGACCGCAGACUAUAACUGUGAUGGUGGGAGCCACAGCAGUUUCACUACAGCCACGAGCAAGCAGCUGCCGGAAGUAAGCCUGGUAAGCACUGACCUUUGGCGUGCCUGUGAUGUGAGGAGGAAGCCUGUCCUGCCUGUUUACCCUCAGCCUGCUGCAAGUGGCAGCAGAAAGUGCUGGAAACAUCACGGCUGCAUUUCAAAUGACAUUAGUAAAGUUUACAUAAUAACAAGCCAGGAUUGUUUUGCACCUGCAAUUCUGCUAAAGGAUCGCAAAGCUAUUUCGCAGAAGAACACACAGGGAACACUGCGAACUGUGGUGUCUCUAGCCGCACUGUCCUGGCUGCCUCCAUGUCCUGGGUGGGUCAUGGCAUUGCCCUCUCCUGCCCUUUGUGGCUUUGGGGAGGAGCUGGAGGUCUCACUGGCCGGAUGCAGUGAGUACAGUGGCCAGGGACACUGUGCCCGUUUGUGUGAGCUGCCCGUCCGCUGGAUGGUGCUCGGGCAGCAGCACUGUUUCUGACCACACUGGAUGAAGACCCUCAGGAGAGAGGCUCCAGAGCUGCUGCAGGAAGUGGCAGGGUGAUGGGACGUGUGCUAAACAGGGGUCAUGGCCACAUCUCUUGCUGUCACGGUCGGUUCCGUCUGCGUGCAGGUGGUGUUUGAGUCGCCCCUCUUCCUCCCUCCCCCUUUCCCUCCCCCUUCAUGCUAAUGCUGCCCUGGCCGGGGACCAGAGCCACCCCAUAGAGGGGUUCAGGCCUGGCCCCCAGGAGCAUGGUCACCCGCAGCCCAGGCUUCAUGGGUGGUGAUGGCUGUCAGCCUUGGUGUGCUAUUCCCCCCACUGACCAGGACCCGACAGGCCUGGCCUUUGCUGCCCCUGAGGUACUAGAUCCACAGCUUGGGCCACUCGGGGCAGGAAGCCAUCUCUGCACACAGAUGCGUGGCUGUGGCACACUGAGCUGCUCCCACUUAGUCCCCACGGGCAUCUUGAGGGACACCAAUGACUGCACCCCACUCUGCAGAGCAGGAAGGAAGGCUGGGUGGCUUCUCCAGUGUGGCCCAGGGGCGAGGAGGGUGGCAUCCCUAGUGCCACAGCCCUCCCCUCCCCUGCCAUCCUCCUCCCCGCCCCCCCCCCCCCAGCAGUGAAGGAACCGCAGCCCUGAAAUAGGGAGCUGGAUGCUGCCCCGGUCCCCACACUGGGCCUGGCUUGGGCUUGGGCUAGGCGCUGGGGAGAAGGCCAGCUUCCUGUGUCCCAUCCUCUGUUGUCCUCCAGCCCUGUCCCUCUGUCCACAUCUGGGGGCAGACCCCUCCAGGCCUGGGACGGCCCCACACCCAGGGCUGUGGAUGUCCACCUGCACGAACUGCCAAGGGCCGGGCCCGGCCACCAGAGGUCCCCGCCAAAGGACAGCCUGGGAGUGGGAAAGCCUUUUGCGCCCCGUCUGUUCACAGAGCAGCUGCCACACGUCGCAGCCCCGAGAGGGAGGAAGCUUCACGGAGAAGGCGUCAUUUCUAACUAAAGAAAAAUGCUGCUUCUCAGCCGGAAACCUGGCCCUCGCUCCGUCUGACAGCGAAAUAGACGGUGGUGGUUUUGGGAGACUCGUGGUGGAAAGUCAGGCAGGAGAGGUAAUCAGCGGCCUGGCAUUUAUUCUCGAAGUAGGAAUAUUUGUCCCUCAAAGUCAGGCUGCGUGGAAUAUUAGCAUUUGAAUAAAUUAUUCAGCACCUUCCAGAGAAAGCAAGGGGAGAAAUCUUUCCAGCAUUAUAACAUGGCAAUCUACAAGGUAGUAGAAAAAGAAGGAUAUCAUUUUUCCUUCAAUUACAAAAGGCAAAUAUUUAUUAUUUAUAAGUAUGCGCCUUCUAUAGGCUUAAAUGUUAUUUAUGGACCUGUUGCACAGUGAUUUUCAGUGUAACUCAUUAUUUUUAGCCUCCGGGUGUUGUAAAGCAGCACGGAUAUAUUUAAUGAGACUGCUACUCCGCACAAUUACCCUGUAAUCAUUAUGUAAAAUGUGCUAUUAAUUAAACCAAUUUCUGUUAGAA